rnacentral:rRNA from 1 species
ACGCUGGCGGCGUGCCUAAUACAUGCAAGUCGAACGAGGUGCUUUUGUAGCAAUACGAGAGUAUCCUAGUGGCGAACGGGUGAGUAACGCGUUGGUGACCUACCCCAAAGUGUGGGAUAACAGUCCGAAAGGAUUGCUAAUACCGCAUGUGGUUAUUGGAUUUAGAAACCGGUAACUAAAGGAGCAAUUCGCUUUGGGAGGGACCUGCGUCCCAUCAGCUAGUUGGUGAGGUAAUGGCUCACCAAGGCUACGACGGGUAGGGGACCUGAGAGGGUGACCCCCCACAAUGGAACUGAAACACGGUCCAUACACCUACGGGUGGCAGCAGUAGGGAAUAUUGCACAAUGGGCGAAAGCCUGAUGCAGCAACGCCGCGUGUGUGAUGAAGGCCUUCGGGUCGUAAAGCACUUUUCUGGGAGAUGAGAAAGGACAGUAUCCCAGGAAUAAGUCUCGGCUAACUACGUGCCAGCAGCCGCGGUAAA